rnacentral:lncRNA from 1 species
AAUCUAAGAGGACUCUAGAUGGUUAAUUCAUAUUGUGCAUAAGCUGACUUGGUGUGUAAGCUAGCAAAAGUGAAAGUGAAACUAAUUGCUUCUUAGGCAAGUUAGUUAGUUUGUUAGUGAAGUUUGUUAAUAGAGUUUGUUAGAUUCAGUUAGUUUGUUUUACCUAGGUUGUUAAAGUGUAUUAGAUUCAGUUAGAAAGUUGUUAGUUGGUUAGGGCCUAAGAGAAUCAUCAACCAUUGUGAUGAUCUAGUAUAAAUAAUUGGCUCAUGAUUAGUGAUUGUAAUCAACUACUUUUUCCCCAUUGUGGAUGAAUAAAACUGAUUCUAUUUUUCCCUAAUCUUCUUCUUCUUCCUCUGUUAAACAAGUGCUUUUCAUUCUUUCCAUUCAUUCACCAUUGUUGCAGCAACAAGGAUAGUAGAUCCUGCAGAAACUGUGCUCAUUGGCGUGGCCAGAGUGACAGUGCAGCGCGCGCGUGUAUCCUUGCUUGCUUGCUAGGCCUGUGCAGGCCAAAGUGAUCGAAGCCUAGCUUCAGCUGCGCCAACA